UACGGAGGAUGCAAGCGUUAUCCGGAUUUAUUGGGUUUAAAGGGUGCGUAGGCGGGACUGUAAGUCAGGGGUGAAAUACUGCAGCUUAACUGUAGCAUUGCCUUUGAAACUGCCGUUCUUGAGUACAGUUGAGGUAGGCGGAAUGUGGUGUGUAGCGGUGAAAUGCAUAGAUAUACCACAGAACGCCGAUUGCGAAGGCAGCUUACUAAGCUGUUACUGACGCUGAGGCACGAAAGCGUGGGGAUCAAACAGG
rnacentral:rRNA from 2 species